CCUACGGGAGGCUGCAGUGGGGAAUUUUGCGCAAUGGGCGAAAGCCUGACGCAGCAACGCCGCGUGGGUGAUGAAGGUCUUCGGAUCGUAAAACCCUUUCGUUGGGGACGAAGGUGGGGGCGUUCAUAGCGUUUCUGCUUGACGGUACCCGGAGAGGAAGCCCCGGCUAACUCUGUGCCAGCAGCCGCGGUAAUACAGAGGGGGCAAGCUUUGUUCGAAAUUAUUGGGCGUAAAGGGCGCGUAGGGAUGUGUAAGCCCAGAGCUCAACUUGGGAACUGCAUCUGAGACUGGAAGGCUAGAGUACUGGAGAGGGUGGUGGAAUUCCUCGUGUAGCGGUGAAAUGCGUAGAGAUGAGGAGGAACACCAGUGGCGAAGGCGGCCACCUGGACAGUAACUGACGCUGAGGCGCGAAAGUGUGGGUAGCAAACAGGAUUAGAUACCCCUGUAGUC
rnacentral:rRNA from 1 species